AUUGAACGCUGGCGGCAUGCCUUACACAUGCAAGUCGAACGGCAGCACGGGAGCAAUCCUGGUGGCGAGUGGCGAACGGGUGAGUAAUAUACCGGAACGUGCCCAGUCGUGGGGGAUAACGUAGCGAAAGCUACGCUAAUACCGCAUACGAUCUAUGGAUGAAAGCGGGGGAUCGCAAGACCUCGCGCGAUUGGAGCGGCCGAUAUCAGAUUAGGUAGUUGGUGAGGUAAAGGCUCACCAAGUCGACGAUCUGUAGCUGGUCUGAGAGGACGAGCAGCCACACUGGGACUGAGACACGGCCCAGACUCCUACGGGAGGCAGCAGUGGGGAAUUUUGGACAAUGGGCGCAAGCCUGAUCCAGCAAUGCCGCGUGCAGGAUGAAGGCCUUCGGGUUGUAAACUGCUUUUGUACGGAACGAAACGGCGAGCUCUAAUACAGUUUGCUAAUGACGGUACCGUAAGAAUAAGCACCGGCUAACUACGUGCCAGCCGCCGCGGUAA
rnacentral:rRNA from 1 species